GAGGGUAUAGCUCAGAGGUACAGUGCAUGCCUAGCAUGUAUGAGAUCCUGGGUUCAAUCCCCAGUAUCUCCA
rnacentral:tRNA from 1 species